CAAUAGCGUAUAUUAAAGUUGUUGCAGUUAGAACGCUCGUAGUCGGAUUUCGGGGCGGGGCGACCGGUCUGCCGAUGGGUAUGCACUGGUCGGCGCGUCCUUCCUUCCGGAGACCGUUCCUACUCUUAACUGAGCGGGGGCGGGAGACGGAUCGUUUACUUUGAAAAAAUCAGAGUGUUUCAAGCAGGCAGCUCGCUCUUGCAUGGAUUAGCAUGGGAUAAUGAAAUAGGACUUUGGUGCUAUUUUGUUGGUUUCGAACACCGAAGUAAUGAUUAAAAGGGGCAGUCAGGGGCACUCGUAUUCCGCCGAGAGAGGUGAAAUUCUCAGACCAGCGGAAGACGAACCACUGCGAAAGCAUUUGCCAGGGAUGUUUUCACUGA
rnacentral:rRNA from 1 species